UACGGAAGGGGCAAGCGUUGUUCGGAAUCAUUGGGCGUAAAGGGCGCGUAGGUGGUCUUGUGUGUCUAUCGUGAAAGCGUACGGCUCAACCGUAUUUAGUCGGUAGAAACUGCAGGACUUGAGGCUGGGAGGGGCUGGUGGAAUUCCCUGUGUAGCGGUGAAAUGCGUAGAGAUGGGGGAGAACACUCGUGGCGAAGGCGGCCAGCUGGACCAGUUCUGACACUGAGGCGCGAUAGCGUGGGGAGCAAACAGG
rnacentral:rRNA from 1 species